rnacentral:ncRNA from 1 species
GAUCAUGAGUCCCAACGUUAAGCUCUGGCUGGUUGGGCGGCAACCCUCUCCCGUAGUGGGGUGCCCCAGAUGAGGAUCAGGCAGGAAUGCAAGUACGGCGC